GGGUGAGUAACGCGUGAGUAACCUGCCUUACACAAGGGGAUAGCCUCUGGAAACGGAGAAUAAUACCCUAUGAAACUAUCUUAUCGCAUGAAAAGAUAGUCAAAGUGUUUUAGCGGUGUAAGAUGGACUUGCGUCUGAUUAGCUAGUUGGUGAGAUAACAGCCCACCAAGGCAACGAUCAGUAGCCGGCUUGAGAGAGUGUACGGCCACAUUGGGACUGAGACACGGCCCAG
rnacentral:rRNA from 1 species